GACGAACGCUGGCGGCGUGCCUAACACAUGCAAGUCGAACGGAGUAAAACGCUGAAUUGAUGUAAGCUUGCUUAUGGAUUUUCUUGUUUUACUUAGUGGCGGACGGGUGAGUAACGCGUGAGUAACCUGCCUUACAGAGGGGGACAACAGUUGGAAACGACUGCUAAUACCGCAUAAUAUACCGACAGGGCAUCCUGAUGGUAUCAAAGGAGUAAUCCGCUGUAAGAUGGACUCGCGUCUAAUUAGAUAGUUGGUGGGGUAACGGCCCACCAAGUCGACGAUUGGUAGCCGGACUGAGAGGUUGAACGGCCACAUUGGGACUGAGACACGGCCCAGACUCCUACGGGAGGCAGCAGUGGGGGAUAUUGCACAAUGGGGGAAACCCUGAUGCAGCAACGCCGCGUGAAGGAUGAAGGCCUUUGGGUCGUAAACUUCUGUCCUUGAGGAAGAUAAUAGACGGGUAACUCUUGGAGGAAGCCCCGGCUAACCUACGUG
rnacentral:rRNA from 1 species